AUGUGGGGCACUGCCCUCCCUGGCUCUGCCUGGGGCCCCAGCCUGCUCUGCUGUGUCACUAUCUUUCUCCUGGGAACAAGUUCAGCAAAUCCCGGGGUCAUCCAGUCUCCAAGACACAUAAUCAAAGCAAAGGGAGGAAGGUCCUUUCUCAAAUGCAUUCCCAUCUCUGGACAUGCCAGUGUGUUCUGGUACCAGCAGACUCUGGGGAAAAAAAUGACAUUCCUCGUUCAGCAUUAUGAAAAAGCGGAAGGAGAGAAAGGAAACAUACCCAACCGAUUCUCAGUCCAGCAGUUCAGUGACUAUCACUCUGAGAUGAACAUGAGCGCCUUGCAGCUGGAGGACUCUGCUGUGUACUUCUGUGCCAGCUCACCACAGCCUCACAGAGUCACUGGCUUUCUGUCCUUUUAUCUUUCUGCUCCCACUGCCAAGAAGGAAAAGAUAGAAGAGGAGAAGAUAGAAGAGGAAAAAGAGGAAGAGCAGGGGACAAAUGAGAAAGUGUAA